rnacentral:rRNA from 1 species
UACAGAGGUCCCAAGCGUUGUUCUGAUUCACUGGGCGUAAAGGGUGCGUAGGCGGUCGGGUAAGUCUGGUGUGAAAUCUCACAGCUUAACUGUGAAACUGCAUUGGAUACUAUCCGGCUAGAGGAAUGGAGGGGAGACUGGAAUACUUGGUGUAGCAGUGAAAUGCGUAGAUAUCAAGUGGAACACCAGUGGCGAAGGCGAGUCUCUGGACAUUUCCUGACGCUGAGGCACGAAAGCCAGGGGAGCAAACGGG